rnacentral:rRNA from 1 species
ACUCCUACGGGAGGCAGCAGUGGGGAAUAUUGCACAAUGGGCGCAAGCCUGAUGCAGCCAUGCCGCGUGUAUGAAGAAGGCCUUCGGGUUGUAAAGUACUUUCAGCAGUGAGGAAGGUGGGUAUGUUAAUAGCAUAUUCAUUUGACGUUAGCUGCAGAAGAAGCACCGGCUAACUCCGUGCCAGCAGCCGCGGUAAUACGGAGGGUGCGAGCGUUAAUCGGAAUUACUGGGCGUAAAGCGCAUGCAGGUGGUUUGUUAAGUCAGAUGUGAAAGCCCGGGGCUCAACCUCGGAAUUGCAUUUGAAACUGGGCAAACUAGAGUACUGUAGAGGGGGGGUAGAAUUUCAGGUGUAGCGGUGAAAUGCGUAGAGAUCUGAAGGAAUACCGGUGGCGAAGGCGGCCCCCUGGACAGAUACUGACACUCAGAUGCGAAAGCGUGGGGAGCGAAACAGGAUUAGAUCCCCUGGGUAGGCUCU